rnacentral:rRNA from 1 species
CGACGAGUUUGAUCCUGGCUCAGGAUGAACGCUAGCGGCAGGCUUAACACAUGCAAGUCGAGGGGUAUAGUUCUUCGGAACUAGAGACCGGCGCACGGGUGCGUAACGCGUAUGCAAUCUACCUUUUACAGAGGGAUAGCCCAGAGAAAUUUGGAUUAAUACCUCAUAGUAUUUUCGAAUCGCAUGAUUUGAUUAUUAAAGUUCCAACGGUAAAAGAUGAGUAUGCGUCCCAUUAGCUAGAUGGUAAGGUAACGGCUUACCAUGGCAACGAUGGGUAGGGGUCCUGAGAGGGAGAUCCCCCACACUGGUACUGAGACACGGGACCAGACUCCCACGGGAGGCAGCAGUGAGGAAUAUUGGACAAUGGGCGCAAGCCUGAUCCAACCCAUGCCCGCGUGCAGGAUGACGGUCCUAUGGAUUGUAAACUGC